UACGUAGGGUGCGAGCGUUAAUCGGAAUUGCUGGGCGUAAAGCGUGCGCAGGCGGUUGUGCAAGACAGAUGUGAAAUCCCCGGGCUCAACCUGGGAAUUGCAUUGUGACUGUACGGCUAGAGUGUGUCAGAGGGGGGUAGAAUUCCACGUGUAGCAGUGAAAUGCGUAGAGAUGUGGAGGAAUACCGAUGGCGAAGGCAGCCCCCCUGGGAUAACACUGACGCUCAUGCACGAAAGCGUGGGGAGCAAACAGG
rnacentral:rRNA from 1 species